GUCGACCAAACCUCUUCCCGCAUUCGAUGCAAGGGUAGGGCCUCUCUCCGGUGUGGGUAAUCCGGUGCCGAGUCAGAGAUACUGGCCUGGAAAUGGGUCCAGAGCUGAAUGUGUACUGCAUUCCAGCUGAUUCACAAAACAGGAUUAAAGCAAUAGUGAAGCCUGGGACUAGGGAAAGUAUACAAAAAUGGGAUUCCAUACCAUCUUCAGCUGCCACAACACAGCACCACAUUUAUCAGCGGAAGAGUCUGUAAUUUAUUUUGCAUGAUAUCUUAUUAGAUAAGGAGGAAUCAGAAAGAGGAACGGUUUCAAAAUGUUCAAACCAUAGAAUAAAAAACUGAUCCAAUAACCAUGUGGUCUAGAUAAACUGUUGUA